rnacentral:sRNA from 1 species
UGCGAUAGGUCCGGAGUCAGUGGGUUAUCCUGAAACCCCCCAUUGGCGCUCACUCGACCUCCGC